rnacentral:rRNA from 1 species
AGGGAAUCUUCCACAAUGGACGAAAGUCUGAUGGAGCAACGCCGCGUGAGUGAUGAAGGGUUUCGGCUCGUAAAACUCUGUUGUUGGAGAAGAACGGGUGUCAGAGUAACUGUUGACAUCGUGACGGUAUCCAACCAGAAAGCCACGGCUAACUACGUGCCAGCAGCCGCGGUAAUACGUAGGUGGCAAGCGUUGUCCGGAUUUAUUGGGCGUAAAGCGAGCGCAGGCGGUUUUUUAGGUCUGAUGUGAAAGCCUUCGGCUUAACCGGAGAAGUGCAUCGGAAACCGGGAGACUUGAGUGCAGAAGAGGACAGUGGAACUCCAUGUGUAGCGGUGAAAUGCGUAGAUAUAUGGAAGAACACCAGUGGCGAAGGCGGCUGUCUGGUCUGCAACUGACGCUGAGGCUCGAAAGCAUGGGUAGCGAACAGGAUUAGAUACCCUGGUAGUCCAUGCCGUAAACGAUGAGUGCUAAGUGUUGGAGGGUUUCCGCCCUUCAGUGCUGCAGCUAACGCA